AGCCGUGGCUUUCGGAGCUAACGCGUUAAGUAGACCGCCUGGGGAGUACGGUCGCAAGAUUAAAACUCAAAUGAAUUGACGGGGGCCCGCACAAGCGGUGGAGCAUGUGGUUUAAUUCGAUGCAACGCGAAGAACCUUACCUACUCUUGACAUCCAGAGAACUUUCCAGAGAUGGAUUGGUGCCUUCGGGAACUCUGAGACAGGUGCUGCAUGGCUGUCGUCAGCUCGUGUUGUGAAAUGUUGGGUUAAGUCCCGCAACGAGCGCAACCCUUAUCCUUGUUUGCCAGCGAGUAAUGUCGGGAACUCCAGGGAGACUGCCGGUGAUAAACCGGAGGAAGGUGGGGACGACGUCAAGUCAUCAUGGCCCUUACGAGUAGGGCUACACACGUGCUACAAUGGCGCAUACAGAGGGCGGCCAACUUGCGAAAGUGAGCGAAUCCCAAAAAGUGCGUCGUAGUCCGGAUUGGAGUCUGCAACUCGACUCCAUGAAGUCGGAAUCGCUAGUAAUCGUGGAUCAGAAUGCCACGGUGAAUACGUUCCCGGGCCUUGUACACACCGCCCGUCACACCAUGGGAGUGGGCUGCAAAAGAAGU
rnacentral:rRNA from 1 species